UACAGAGGGUGGAAGGGUUAUUCGGAAUUAUUGGGCGUAAAGAGCGCGUAGGCGGUUUGAUAAGUCUGGUGUGAAAUCCCUGGGCUCAAUUCAGGAAGCGCAUUGGAUACUGUCAGACUCGAGUACAGGAGAGGUGAGCGGAAUUCCCGGUGUAGAGGUGAAAUUCGUAGAUAUCGGGAGGAACAACAGUGGCGAAGGCGGCUCACUGGACUGUCACUGACGCUGAGGCGCGAAAGCGGGGGGAGCAAACAGG
rnacentral:rRNA from 1 species